rnacentral:rRNA from 1 species
GGGCCCGCACAAGCGGUGGAGCAUGUGGUUUAAUUCGAUGAUACGCGAGGAACCUUACCAGGGCUUAAAUGGGAGAUGACAGGGGCAGAGACGCCCUUUUCUUCGGACAUCUUUCAAGGUGCUGCAUGGUUGUCGUCAGCUCGUGCCGUGAGGUGUCAGGUUAAGUCCUAUAACGAGCGCAACCCCUACCGUUAGUUGCCAGCGAUUCAAGUCGGGGACUCUAACGGGACUGCCGGUGCAAACCGUGAGGAAGGUGGGGACGACGUCAAAUCAUCACGGCCCUUACGUCCUGGCUACACACGUGCUACAAUGGUCGGUACAGAGGGAAGCUACCCCGUAAGGGGAUGCGGA